AUUAUGUAUCUAGUAUUUGCGUUCACACUUUAAUUCGAAGAGAUUUAACACUUCGCCCGCGGUGAAUGUGAGCGGGGAGAUCCCGUGCGAACAUCUGCGCGAACGCGUAUUGCCUCAUUAUUAUAAACUGUCGAGAGCAAAUUAAAAUCGACCAUUAAAAUAGUUAAUAAUCUUAAUGACUAUGGCCAUGAAUGAGAGGCGCAUCCGAGCGAAGAUAGACAUAAAGAGAGAAGAGAACAUAACUAUUGUUAUAAUCAAAUACCUUAUACAGGUCACGUUUUACACUCGGACCUUAAAAUCUUUUACAGUACAUACGUGUAAUGCUUGCGCCGAGCGCAUAUUGCAUAAGCGCCGGUAACGUCUUUCGGUUUGGGUGAAAGUAAAACCAAAGCGAGAUUACAUCUACCAACAAACAUGUCGAACAUAAGAAACUUGAGAAAUACUCACUUUGUGAAGAAAGAAAAAAACGUUGAUACACCUACGCCGACAAAACUGAAAAAAAAUACGGAGAUUUUAAGUGAGAAAAAUGCAAGUGGGUGUUGAUAGUUGUUACGCAAAUAUUGUACACAUUUAAAAUUUACAUUAAAAUUAAAAUCGUUGAAUUGUCAAGUGGAAAAA